rnacentral:piRNA from 1 species
UGCAUGUGUCUGUGUAUGCGGAUGUA